rnacentral:rRNA from 1 species
UACGGGGGGGGCAAGCGUUGUUCGGAACUACUGGGCGUAAAGGGCUCGUAGGCGGCCAACUAAGUCGGAUGUGAAAUCCCCAGGCUUAACCUGGGAACUGCAUCCGAUACUGGAUGGCUUGAAUCCGGGAGAGGGAUGCAGAAUUCCAGGUGUAGCGGUGAAAUGCGUAGAUAUCUGGAGGAAUACCGGUGGCGAAGGCGGCAUCCUGGACCGGCAUUGACGCUGAGGAGCGAAAGCUAGGGGAGCAAACGGG